UGUGUACUCCCUCCAUUCCAAAAUACUUGACUUCCAUUUAUCCAAAAAUGGAUGUACCUAUAUACUAAGACAUGUCUAGAUACAUAUAUAUUUUGACAAAUAGAAGGCAUGUAUUGUGCAACGGAGGGAGUAUAAU
rnacentral:pre_miRNA from 1 species